ACGCUCGACACCUACGGGAGUCAGCAGUGGGGAAUAUUGCACAAUGGGGGAAACCCUGAUGCAGCGACGCCGCGUGGAGGAAGAAGGUCUUCGGAUUGUAAACUCCUGUUGUUGGGGAAAAAGAGGAUGGUACCCAACAAGGAAGUGACGGCUAACUACGUGCAAGCAGCCGCGGUAAUCUGAGCGGGCUGGCAAGGC
rnacentral:rRNA from 1 species